GAGCGGUAGAGAGAAGCUUGCUUCUCUUGAGAGCGGCGGACGGGUGAGUAAUGCCUAGGUAUCUGCCUGGUAGUGGGGGAUAACGUUCGGAAACGGACGCUAAUACCGCAUACGUCCUACGGGAGAAAGCAGGGGACCUUCGGGCCUUGCGCUAUCAGAUGAGCCUAGGUCGGAUUAGCUAGUUGGUGGGGUAAUGGCUCACCAAGGCGACGAUCCGUAACUGGUCUGAGAGGAUGAUCAGUCACACUGGAACUGAGACACGGUCCAGACUCCUACGGGAGGCAGCAGUGGGGAAUAUUGGACAAUGGGCGAAAGCCUGAUCCAGCCAUGCCGCGUGUGUGAAGAAGGUCUUCGGAUUGUAAAGCACUUUAAGUUGGGAGGAAGGGCAGUUACCUAAUACGUGAUUGUUUUGACGUUACCGACAGAAUAAGCACCGGCUAACUCUGUGCCAGCAGCCGCGGUAAUACAGAGGGUGCAAGCGUUAAUCGGAAUUACUGGGCGUAAAGCGCGCGUAGGUGGUUUGUUAAGUUGGAUGUGAAAUCCCCGGGCUCAACCUGGGAACUGCAUUCAAAACUGACUGACUAGAGUAUGGUAGAGGGUGGUGGAAUUUCCUGUGUAGCGGUGAAAUGCGUAGAUAUAGGAAGGAACACCAGUGGCGAAGGCGACCACCUGGACUAAUACUGACACUGAGGUGCGAAAGCGUGGGGAGCAAACAGGAUUAGAUACCCUGGUAGUCCACGCCGUAAACGAUGUCAACUAGCCGUUGGAAGCCUUGAGCUUUUAGUGGCGCAGCUAACGCAUUAAGUUGACCGCCUGGGGAGUACGGCCGCAAGGUUAAAACUCAAAUGAAUUGACGGGGGCCCGCACAAGCGGUGGAGCAUGUGGUUUAAUUCGAUGCAACGCGAAGAACCUUACCUACUCUUGACAUCCAGAGAAUUCGCUAGAGAUAGCUUAGUGCCUUCGGGAACUCUGAGACAGGUGCUGCAUGGCUGUCGUCAGCUCGUGUUGUGAAAUGUU
rnacentral:rRNA from 1 species